UACGUAGGGGUCGAGCGUUGUCCGGACUUACUGGGCGUAAAGCGUGGGUAGGUGGUCGGUGAUGUGCCGUGUGAAAGCGCCGCGCUUCUCGCGGCGAGGUCGCGGUAGACACACCGACUGGAGGCACGGAGGGGGGCGUAGAAUUCCUGGUGUAGCGGUGAAAUGCGCAGAUAUCAGGAGGAACACCGGUGGCGAAGGCGGAUCUCUGGGCCAUUACUGACGCUGAGGAGCGAAAGCGUGGGGAGCGAACAGG
rnacentral:rRNA from 1 species